rnacentral:rRNA from 1 species
UGCGUAGGCGGUGCGGUAAGUCUUCUGUGAAACCUCCGGGCUUAACUCGGAGCCUGCAGGGGAAACUGCCGUGCUGGAGUAUGGGAGAGGUGAGUGGAAUUCCCAGUGUAGCGGUGAAAUGCGUAGAUAUCGGGAGGAACACCUGUGGCGAAAGCGGCUCACUGGACCAUUACUGACGCUGAAGCACGAAAGCUAGGGGAGCAAACAGGAUUAGAUACCCUGGUAGUCCUAGCCCUAAACGAUGAUCGCUUGGUGUGACAGGUACCCAAUCCUGUCGUGCCGGAGCUAACGCGUUAAGCGAUCCGCCUGGGGAGUACGGUCGCAAGGCUGAA